rnacentral:tRNA from 1 species
UAAGACCUGCAGGAUAUUAACCUGCAUCUUCUGAAUGCAACUCAAAUGCUUUAAUUAAGCUAAGGCCUUC